rnacentral:ncRNA from 2 species
AUAUAAUUGUUUGAGCAAGGUGCUCACGAAUUGAUCCAAUCAUUCGUAGUUAAACGGGAAUCAGGAGUAGAUAUCAGCAAUAACUUGUUAUUCGCAGGAUAAAAACGAACUGAGCUGCCCCCGCAACGGUCAACAUUCGCCAUUUUUAUAAUGGCAACUUUAUUCAAAAACCACUGGUGAAAACUGGGAAGGUAAAUAGAGUGAAUGCCAGCCCGGAUACCGGCCUAGCGAAGUAUGACGAA